rnacentral:rRNA from 1 species
UAGAAUUCCACGUGUAACGGUGAAAUGCGUAGAGAUGUGGAGGAAUACCGGUGGCGAAGGCGGCCUUCUGGACAGAUACUGACGCUGAGAUGCGAAAGCGUGGGGAGCAAACAGGAUUAGAUACCCUGGUAGUCCACGCUGUAAACGAUGUCUAUUUGGACUUUGUUGCCUAGAGUGAUGGGCUCCGAAGCUAACGCGAUAAAUCGACCGCCUGGGGAGUACGGCCGCAAGGUUAAAACUCAAAUGAAUUGACGGGGGCCCGCACAAGCGGUGGAGCAUGUGGUUUAAUUCGAUGCAACGCGAAGAACCUUACCUGGUCUUGACAUCCACAGAAUCUUGCAGAGAUGCGGGAGUGCCUUCGGGAACUGUGAGACAGGUGCUGCAUGGCUGUCGUCAGCUCGUGUUGUGAAAUGUUGGGUUAAGUCCCGCAACGAGCGCAACCCUUAUCCUUUGUUGCCAUUGGUUCGGCCGGGAACUCAAAGGAGACUGCCGUUGAUAAAGCGGAGGAAGGUGGGGACGACGUCAAGUCAUCAUGGCCCUUACGACCAGGGCUACACACGUGCUACAAUGGCGUAUACAAAGGGAGGCGACCUCGCGAGAGCAAGCGGACCUCAUAAAGUACGUCUAAGUCCGGAUUGGAGUCUGCAACUCGACUCCAUGAAGUCGGAAUCGCUAGUAAUCGUGAAUCAGAAUGU